rnacentral:rRNA from 1 species
UAAGGAAUAUUGGUCAAUGGACGCGAGUCUGAACCAGCCAUGCCGCGUGAAGGAUGAAGGUCCUCUGGAUUGUAAACUUCUUUUAUCUGGGACGAAAACGGGAUUUUUAUCUCAAUUGACGGUACCAGAGGAAUAAGCACCGGCUAACUCCGUGCCAGCAGCCGCGGUAAUACGGAGGGUGCGAGCGUUAUCCGGAUUUACUGGGUUUAAAGGGUGCGUAGGUGGGCUUAUAAGUCAGUGGUGAAAUCUCCGAGCUUAACUUGGAAACUGCCGUUGAUACUAUAGGUCUUGAAUUAUCUGGAGGUAAGCGGAAUAUGUCAUGUAGCGGUGAAAUGCUUAGAUAUGACAUAGAACACCAAUUGCGAAGGCAGCUUACUACAUAUAAAUUGACGCUGAGGCACGAAAGCGUGGGGAGCAAACA